CUGCCCCAGUUUCAGCGUCCCCUCCAUGAAGCUCCUCCCAGCUGUCUCAAACUCCGCCCGUGCAGCAGCCUCUACCUGCGCAGGGCUCCAGUCUGGAUGCCUGGACCUCACUAGCGCUCUCGAGCCUUCCCAGUAUACCUUUUUACUCUCCCAGUUUCUGAUCCAUACAGGUCUCCAGCUCUCCCAGUCCACCACAGCCAGGCCCUGGAAAUAUUUGUCAGGAAUACAAGUGCGGAUAUCUUUAGUGGCAACUCUGAGGUGUUCCUCCAGACUGGCGUUCUGCGGCACCCCGCCAUUGACAGCCUCUCCUUGGCUGGAGUACCUGGGAUACAGGCCGAGCUUUUCAGAGUAAAAGAUGGUUAUGUUUUCACCCAUAAAGGUUUGGUUCUGGUUAUGGACGAUGUUGAACAUGCCCAAGUCGAGGUCCACGCCAUAUUGAGAGAGACAGCUGGCGGUGGGGGCGUUCCAGACGGUGAGGAAUGGCACCUGGGGUAAAGUCGAUGGUGCAAACUGCAGGCCUGAAACAAGGCUGAUCAGUUUCAAGAAAAGCAGCGCCUCAGCAGGGAAGGAACUCAUCCCUGAAAGGAAGGAAACGACACCACUGCUAAUAUCACCUCACCGGUGACGGCCGGCUUGCCACUCUGCUCGAUGAUGUGGUGGUGGAGGGGGUUCAGAUGCAAGUAAACGUCGCUGUCCGGAUUUUUGCGCAGACAGCGGCCUCGAGAAGCACACAAGGUCUGGCUGCAUAGCUCUGCUGCCGUGGAGACGUUGAGGAGUUGUUGCAGGACACGCCGGUGAAAACGAGGAGGAGGAGUUUGCAGAAAACUGCUAGCAAUGCUUUCUUUCCUAAUGCUACUCCAACACAACAAAUUCCUCUCUCCAACUCUGACUCACGUUUCCUCAACAUCUCGCCUCAUGAGAUUUCAGAGCAAGAACUGUCCUUCAGCGAGACUUCAGUUUCAGGUUAAAAACAAGGGAUGUCACUCGUAGGGAUCCUUUCCAUUUUCUCAGCAUUUUGUGGACGAAAGAUUGAUGGGUGCAAAUGCUCCGAAGGAAUGUGUUGCUUCCGGCUCCCAGCUGAAGUUACUGCACAAAUUUCAAAAUCUUUUGUACCUUCUAGUCAUUUUUACUCCAAAAUAUAUGAAAAUAGGGCUCAGGGUUAAAGAUACAGAAAUUACCCUUUAAGUGGAAUAAAGAUGUUUUUGCCCUCUGA